GAGGAGUCAGUGCAAUCCUUCUUGUGUACCUCAGUGUCUGUUUCUCUGCAAGGCAGUGGAACAGUGUGCUGGCGAGUUUAGAGCGAAGACUUUGGGGCAAGACAGAACGGGGUUUGAUCCUGGCUCCUCUACUGAUUAGCCAUCUGACCCGUGACAAGACACUUAACUUCUGUUGUCUCAGCUUCCUCAUCUGUAGAACGGGUUAGGGAAAAAAAGUACCAGCUUGGGGGUUGUGAGGACUACAAUACGUGUACAGGGAUCAACAGAGGUUCGUAGUGUGUACUUAGUGCUUAACGAAUGGACGGGAUGUCUUCUAAAUUUCUUGUCACCUGCAGGUACAUUUCUCUUGCAGAUUGUUAGGAAAGCAUUGCUCUUCGUAAAGGAAGAUUACCCACUUACGCCUCCCAGUGCUGGGAUCCGACUCUCCACAUUGGGUCAAGGCCUCCCAGUGGGCCAACCCUGUCCUCAGGCUGGAGGGGCCUAGGAACUGCAGCCCAGGAGGCAUCUGUCAGCCUCCCCACAGGGUGCCUGCCAACCAAACAGGAAGAGCAGGGCCCAGCACCUGCAACACCAUCAAGCAGCUGACCCACCUUUUCCCCUCUGUCCCAGGACAGAGGUCAUCGUGGGAAAUACAGAGUUUCAAAUCAUCCACAGUGAAACCAAAAGGAAAAAAGUCCACGCUCAUGUUUUGUCUUAGCUCCUCUGGGGAGGCACCAAAGACAGAUGAUUGUGGAGUCCACCCCUGCCGAGCUGAUCCCGGCACAGGCCGCCUGGGUUCCUUGCUGAUGUCCUGCGACAAUUUCCUCUUCCCCCACCUUCCUGUUUGCCUGCAAGGCCAUCCAAAAUGUUGGUUUCCUGAGGCAAAGCAUCCUUCUCCUGGGAGGACUGGGUGCAAUAAAACAGCUGCCUCCCAAGAACCUUGCAAAGAUCGAGCGAGAUGGGGUGGGUCAAAGUAUGAACUUGAGAGCACCUGCAGCUGUGAGUUCUGACAAUAAAGAUGCACAUAUGUGCAUGCAACAAUAAUUAGCACUGUGGCACGUCUCUCACUUUUAAGAAUGCGACAUAUUACAUCAUUGACACUGGCCAACAAAGCAUAUGGUCAAUUGAGUUAAUUCACAAAAAUAGCUCAGAACAAUUUCUACACUGGGCGUGGAAGACAGUCUCUGUUUGGGGAGGCCAGUAUCCACUUCCCCUUUUGAAGAGGUCUCUGGUUUCCUUGUAAGGAAUUGCUUCUUGUCUCUGAGCGCAACCUCACCGGGAGGGUAAAUCCAAGGGUCUUUUCCCCUCCCCUCUCCAACAUCACCACGGAAGCCCAAGGGGUCCUUGCAGGCUCUUUUGGAGACAUCCCACUUCUUCCUGCCAAAGGGUAACCACAGGACAUAAGCCCCACAACGAUAUAAUUGUAGUGUGAGUCUUCUAGCAGGGUGAAGCCUUCAGAGGUUUUGACCACCUGCUAUGGCUGGUUCCCAGCCUUCCACGUAUCCUAGCAAUACAUCCCCCAUGACUUAAGUCUGUCACGCUUACCACCAGAGACUCCAAAACGGCGCUCCCAUCAAAGCAAUGACUUCCACACGGGCUCAGACACUCUCAGCCUCUCCAAGGCCUCCAGCACCUCAGCAUCCCUCAGAGGCCCCAAAGGAAAAGUAAUUAAAGACCCCUGUCCACUGGCCAAGAAGAAAGCCCCUGUCAACAUCAGACCCAGCCACGAGCCUGGGUCACCCAUGCAUUCUUUCACUCUCUAGGUGUUGACUUUCCCAGACCCUGGGAUGAGUUUUUAAGUUUCUGAUGCUGUAGAGACUGACUGUCUUCCAAUCC